GACAGAGGUGCCGAGCGUUAGGCGGAAUCACUGGGCUUAAAGCGUGUGUAGGCGGGUCCGUAAGUACCUUGUGAAAUCCCAUGGCUCAACCAUGGAACUGCUUGGUAUACUGCGGAUCUUGAGCCACCUAGGGGCAAGUGGAACAAACGGUGGAGCGGUGAAAUGCGUAGAUAUCAUUUGGAACGCCAACGGAGAAAUCAGGUAGCUGGGGGUGUGCUGACGCUGAGACAUGAAAGCCAGGGGAGCGAACGGG
rnacentral:rRNA from 1 species